GUAAACAAAAACACGCAAAAUCGGCAGCACAACAGUGACUUCAAAAGAAAUUGACGGGACUGUGGAGGCUUACUAUAGUGGAAAUUUUUAGAAGAAGUAUAAACCAUAAGGGCCAGAGCAUAAUGGGUCCUGGAAGGAUUUGCUUACGAAACCUUUUUCACUGCUUCUGGAGGUUUGUUGGUUAAUUUCUCAUUCCGGAGAAAUUUAACUCCAUCACUACCAUGUUGGGGGUUCCCUAAUGCCAGAUAACAUCUCCAGGAAAGCAAAGAGAGGUAUACACCACAAACGGCAGAGCAUAAAGAAUGGCUGGGAGAUUUGAUAAACUUAACUGUUGUAGGAGAACAAUUUCAAGCAUUGAUAUUAGAAAAUUGUGCUGUCAGUCUUUUGUAUGACUUGGAGGACAAACUUCCCCUUGAAAACUGGAACAAAUGUGAAAUGAAGAAUGUGUAUCUUCAUAUUGAGAACUUUUCCUUGUAAAAUCACCUCUGGGAAAAAGUUUAUUUCAUAUCAAUUUAUUGUGUUCAUUAUCUGGUCUAAUUUUAUAUUUGUAAUUGUUUUAAAAUUGCAUGGCGAAACACAUUUUUG